UACGUAGGUGGCAAGCGUUGUCCGGAUUUACUGGGCGUAAAGGAUGCGUAGGCGGACAUUUAAGUCAGAUGUGAAAUCCCCGAGCUUAACUUGGGUGCUGCAUUUGAAACUGGGUGUCUAGAGUGCAGGAGAGGUAAGUGGAAUUCCUAGUGUAGCAGUGAAAUGCGUAGAGAUUAGGAAGAACACCAGUGGCGAAGGCGACUUACUGGACUGUAACUGACGCUGAGGCAUGAAAGCGUGGGGAGCAAACAGG
rnacentral:rRNA from 1 species